CUCUUUGCUGCGCAGCUCAGCGCUCGGCUGCUGUGGGACGUGUUCCCGGGCCAUGCAUCGUGUCUUGCUUCGAGCCGCAGCCGCCGCUCAAGUCCGCGAUCAACUUUCCCUCGCUCCUCCGCCCCGCGCGGCCCCGCGCCAGUCCCCGCCUCCUGACGCGCCGCGCUCCCCUCGCAGCGCCCGAGCUCCGCCCGCCCGCGCCCGCGCGUCUCACCCAGAGCCCCGGACCCCGUUCCCCGUCGCCAGUCCGAUAGUGACCCUGACCCCAGCAGGGAGCCCAGAUGGGAAGGUGCCUGCACUGGCCGCGGAUGCCAUGACAUUGGCUGCUAUGGCAGCCAGUGGAAUCCCUCAAGGGGCAGGAGGGAGACAGGGGGGAAAAAAACGAGCCUUGGGAGCGUGCCCGAGCUGUUCCUGCGUGUUCGUGAUCUCGCAAAGGUCCGGGAUCCAACCGCAGCCUCCCGCUUGCUCCGAGCCGAGGCCUGAGGCUGCAACGCUCUCGGGAAGCAGGAAGGCGCACCGCCUAGGUGAGGCCGCGCCAUCUGUUGGCUUUAAGCGCCCCCUUUCUGCUCCCGGAGUCGCUGAAAGGUUCCUCCGGUCGCUACUGGCCACCGCUGCCAUUCUUCGCCUUCACCUGCCUCAAGUCUGUGGGCCCACCUGUGCCCCUCCGACUCUGCAACCCAGGCUGCCUCUGAUACUAGAAACUAGUGGCCCUGAGUCAAAGACACCCUGGAGAUCCCUCGGUACCUAGACCCAUGGGAUAUCCCUCGGUAGCAACUGAAGGAAGAUUCCUCCACCUUCUUGCCAGCCUAGCAGACAGCCUUCGAGCUGUUGGACAACGAGAUUAACAAGGAACACCGGGCGACUUUACUUCCCUAGCUAAAUGGACUGGUCCCACUACUGGCCAGCUUAUUGACACUGCUUGCCUGGAGCCAGGGUCUAGGCCUCAACUCAUUUCACCUUCAGCACAGCUUUCUGCUGGGUCCUGAGGUUAACCCAGGUUUUCUGGCAGAGAGGCUGCUUCAGGGAGGUCGGUGACUUGCCAGGGAUGGAGACAGGAAUUGUACCAGAGUAACUGUGAAUCUAGAGCUCCAGUCUUUUAACAUUCAUUCGUUCGUUCAUUUGUUCGUUCAUUCCUAUUGGCUACCAUGUGUUGGCUCCUGAAAUAGUCUGAGUAUGGCUCUCCGCCUCAGGGAAACCCUCUAAAGAGGAACCAGUUCAGGGAAGCAUAUAAACAAGUAACAAUAUAGCCAGAAUCGCGACACCUCCAUGACUCUCUCAAAGACUCAAGGAGAAAGUCCCAGGAAGCAGCCCUGGGUGCUUGCUAGAUAAGCCUGCAGGGUUGCAGGAACACAGAGGUGAGGCAAAGAAGAGUCAGUCAAUGGCACCUGGGAAAGAGAAGAGAGCCGGACAAACAUGGCAAGAUGACCAGCCAGUGUUCUGUUCCCAGCAUCCACCACCCACAUCCGACACUGGAUGCCAUCCUGCGACAUCCAGUUCCAGGAGACCCAAUGCCCUCCUCUGACAUCCGCAGGUACCAGGGUACAUGUGCACAAACCCUCAUCAUCAUGAAUAACAAUAACUGUCAAAUGCUGUAAAGCCAUGUGCUCCUGGACAAGGAUCAAAUGGCUGCUAACCAGCCCAAUCUGUCCCGUCACCUUAUUUUUGUAAAUAAAGUUUUAUUAACACUAACA